UUUGGAAUAUGGUUUAACGGUAACUCAGGGGCACCUUGCUGGAGUUGUGCAUAUUGCUGGGCAUCAUUUCUGCUUUUGCACAGGAACUUGGGCUUUGCUUUGGCUGGCAUCACCAAGGGGAUGCCAUGAAAGAGAAGGGAUCUUCCAUGUUUUUGUCUAACGUGACCAAGCUAAAGGCAAUCAUGGGUAAUGAGAGCAUCGUUUCUCCUCUGUAACACACUCUGCUUGCCCUGAGCUCAGCCUUUGCAAAGAAAUAGAGAAAUCUUUUGCUGGUUGUGCAGGGAGGUAUGGGAGUCUCUGCUGAAUCACAGGGUGUAAAAAUAGCCAAAAUGGUAAUGCUCUCCAGCAUUAUCUGUCUUGAAGAAAUGCAAACCCUCUCUGACCUACGCUGGGUCUAGCUGUGCAUGUAUGUCUCUGCUGAAACUUCCAGAGAUACCUCUUGCUGACAGCAGUGUAUCAGGAGGGAAAAAACUGCACAGUUCCUGAGAACCAGCUUUCCUACAAAUUAAUGCUAUGCAUUAUAUAAAAUAAAAUAUUAAAAACAAAUAAAAUAUAAAAAAAUAAAAAGAAAAAAGGUCACUACAGGUUAGUUUUGAUGACUACUCUCUGGAAAAAAAAAAAAAAAAGAUCAUAUGAUGACUAAAUCUGCAGUGAACCUUCUAGCCAAAAGGGCUGUAGGGGUUUUUCACCAGUGCUCAAAUUAUUCUUGCUUAGAAAGACAGAAAAAAUGGAAAAGGACAUCUUGUCUUUAUAUCUUGGGUUGCAAACACUCCUCUCCUGGAGAAUGGUGGGGAUAAAACAAUCUUCAGACAGCUGAAGUUGUGUGCAAGCACUGCAGAUUUGCUCUGGACGCACAGAGAUGGGAGACAACCUCUCAUUAACUCUCUCUGCCUUGAUACUGGGGGUAGUUGUGGUCCAGCCUAGAUUACCGUGAAAGAUGAACAACAUCCUGGCUGCCUUCCCUUGUGUCCAUCACUAGCUUUCAGUUUCUCUCCAGAAACACUCUAAUUGUUCCCAAUCUGCACUCUGGGGAUCACAUGUCAGACCAAAUGUGCACCAGUGAUGUGACUCAGUUCAUUAUGAAAGUUUGUUCUCUUUCUCAGAGUUGUGUCAUAAACACCACUUUGUGUUUUUUUUCAACAUUGGUAUACUUCCUUUAAAAAAAUAAAGAAGAAAUUAGGUCUUUGGUCAGCCUGCUGUGCAGCUGCUGGGGCAGCUCCAGAGGCUGCUGUGGUGGAAGGAGCUCCAGGAGGGUACGGGAGGGUUGUGCAGGGCACACAUGCCCUCCUUUCCUCCAGGAAGAGCAGGCGAAUGAAGCACUCAUGAGCUGGGUGGAAUUGUGGGUGAGGUUCAAGAUGCAAAGGCUUUCUCACUCAGCCAAUCACUGCAGAUAUUUUCAGGAAAAGAAAAAAAAAAAAAAAAAAAAAAAUCAAAUAAUAAGAUCAUGUAUUGUAUAAAAUAUCCAGCAGCAUCAAAAUGAUUUAGACAAUCAGGUCCCAUUUCUGGUAGUGAUUUAGGUCCAAGUUUGUGCUUGCUUAGGAGUUUUCUAAAUGUGGGAAGGGAAUUUAAUCCAAAUAAAUGUAAGAUGUCACAUUAGAGGGGACAAAUGUAAAUUAAAGUAGCCUUAAUCUGAUUGAGUAUGCUUCUGUUCCAAAGAGAAUUAAGCUAAAUGAAAUUGAAAUGAAUUAAUGGUGGUAUCCAUGCAAGGGGUUGAUCAGUAUAUUCGAUCUGCUUUAAAUUCUUGUUAUUUCACUUGUUCUAAGUAGAAAGCUGUUGGAUAACUGGCUUUCUUUGAAAUUAGUGGACUGUCUGAAAAAAAAAAUCCUGUGUUAAAAAUCUGGUGAUUUUAUUUUAAGGGAAAAUAAUUGAAAUUUAGUAGGACUUAACUUUGGAAAAGGACCCAACAGGUCCCAAAAUAUUUUAUGUGCUCCUGAAAAUUUUAUCUUGGCAAAAGAUGGAAGCUUUUUCCACCACACUGAAAGGAAAAGAGGCAAGGGUAGCAUUGUGUAGAGAAAGUAAGGUUUCCUGAGAGCAAAUGCUCUAUUCCUCCCCAAACCAAGAACCAUCCUUCUCUCUCUACACGUAUGCAUGCCCAAGUUUGUUGGAGCACUGCCUGCCUUUUAGGUGAAACGGAUCCUGUUGGGUGAAGCACAGAGUUCUUACAGGGGUGACAUUCUUUGGCACCUUCCUGUUUUGAUAGCAGUGUAUGUGCAUAAGGUGUCCUUUAGCCUCUUUUAAAAGAUGCUGCAGGGAAAUGGGACUGAAUGAGGUAGCUGCCUACGGGUCUAGAGCUGUUGUCUGUUACCACUAGGAAAACAGCAUUAUAAACAUGGACUCAGUGGCUGGCUUGACACUAAAAGACCUUUUCCUGUAAUAAAUAGUACCGACCUUUCUUUCCUCCUUCGGCUGAAGUUCCUGGGAAGAAGGUGCACGGUCUGUUAUUGUGGGCUGUUGCCAGCACCUCAGUCACUGUUCCUAGACCAAACGGCUAAGAUUAGUUACAUGAUUGAUCCAUUUGCUCUUUUCAGUGGCGUAGAGACUCCCACUUUUUCUUUAGGAGACUUCAAAAUAAGGUGACAACGACUGUCACUAACAGAAAGAGAGGAGACCAACUGCUCCUGUCACUACUGGGAGUCAGACCAUCUGUAUGUCUUCCUUCCCUUCCUCCUCUACUUAACAGACAGACUGAUUUCUCCUUCGACACAGGCAGUAUGCCAUUGUGCCAAUCAUUUCUGCUUCUUUCCUUCUUUUUCUCCCAUAUCCCACAGCCCUUCCGUCAUGCCCAAGUGUCACAAAGACUGAUACACUCCAAGCGAUGGCAUAUAUAUUCUCCAUAGACUUUCUGUCCCCGCUUAGCUGAUGAACGAUCUUUAGUUCAUACAGUCCCAAUUCCUUUAUUAGUAACUGGCUGCUCUACAAGGUGGCCACGUUCCUGGAGAACAGACGAGGUAUCUGUCCUCUCAGAGCACUAGCAGGCUCUGUGUGGUUCUUUUUUAUAUGUGCCCUUUUAAAAAUACUUUGGUCUACAGUGGUUUAGAUGGAGGAAAUUCAUGUGGCAAUAUGUGCUCAGCUUUUUCUUACGUGCUAAUCCCAUAUGAGAGCUGUACGGCUGCAGGAGUUGGUUGAGUGCUGGUUUGACCCAGGUCCAAACUUUACUGCUGUCUUCUCAGGAGAUUUUCCAUGAUUCCCAUGCUACAGAAAGGCUCAUGUGUCCCAAAACAAGAAUCCUACACAGCCCAGUACCAGUUGUAUUAGGAACGGCAGAGCUCAUGAAUGCCCUGUUAAAUGCAGGGGAUGCAGGGGUGGGUGUUAUUAAUGGUUCAUAUUUUCUUUGUUGUGAUCUGGAGUGUUCUUUAAUAAUUACUUUAGAGUAGAAAUAUAUGAAAAACUAUUAAUAUACUUUUGUGGAUACUUUCAUGUUUUUACUUAAAAGUUUUGGUAGUCGUUCAUAGGGUUGUAAACUGGUCAAAAUAGUAAAAAUGAAAGCAAACAAAUUCAAAUUAUGUUCUCUCUUUUUUUUUUUUUUGGACUGCUUACCAUUCAGUAUCAUUCCAGAAGAGUUUAGGGGAAGGGUUUUGGAGAUUUGUUUGGGGCAUUGAAAUAUUUCUAGCAAUCUGUAUUGACUCGUUAAAAUGCAAGUUGGUGUCCUUAUGAUUGCCUGUAUAUAAAGGUUGAAUUCCUGAUGCCCUUUUCUCACAGGAUCGUUUAAAUAGAGACCAAGUAACUUGGUGGGAGCCUGUCCUGAGAGCCUCACCUUGACACUGACAGAAAUCACCUGGCCUCUGCUAUUUGUAUUCUUCCAAAAAGGAAAUAUAUAUUAAGGAGUGUAUCAGAAGUUGUCUGACAGUCACAAGUUCAGCACUUCCACUGCCACUGAGACAUCCUUCGAGGUGAAGGAUAAGGGGUAGACUAGCUGAUGAGGAGGAAAAUAAUUGGUGGGUAGGUAAUUAAAAAGUGAGUUGCCCGAUACAAGAAAAAAACAUCAGGAGGGUGAUAUUAAGCUGCUAAGUGCCGGAAGCUAGGAGGAUGUAUGCUGGAUGGGUGCUGUGUAAUACCAUCUGUCCCUGGCUCUUGGUAAGAUCCAGUGCCUGGGCUUGGUGAAGCCUUGUACUGACACAGGGUGAGAACAUGUGGGCUUCAUCUGCUGUGACAGGCACCGGGAACGUGCCUCCUCAACCCAAACUCCCUCGCUCAGACACAGGGGUAGGUAUCAACCCCAUGGCCAGGUCAUGCCAAGCAGGGGCACCUGGAGUGCGUUGCUGGAAACCUGUUUUAGGGCAUUUCUGUUCCCAGAGUUAAAUAAAAAGAAAUCAGCAUGCAGUUCCCUCCAUGAGGAGCAAGCACAGACCUGGAGUACAUAUGCUGUUAUUGUAGGUUAAAAAAAAAUGCAGUAAACUGCUUAUCCAAGGCCAGGAAACAAAUGGAUGAUUUUUUUUAUUAUUCUUUUUUUCUGUAAUACGAAAAUAUAGUUAAGGGAGAAUUAAUCCCUUGGGCAUGAAGGGGUAAUUUUUGACCAAAGUUAAUUAUGAAGCACUGAAAUUACCAAAUGGAAGAUGAAAUGCACUCGCAGUUUGAUUUUAUUAGUGCAAUUCUACCUUAACAUGUACAGUACUGAACUAUCCAAAUAGUCCAAGUGAGACCUAUUGUACCAAAAAGCAAUUUAAAUACAGUGCUUAGCUAAUGUAACAAUAGUCGUUUUGUAAAAUAAUAAUUCUUAUCGAAUUAGGGUUUCUCUCAGCUCUGUUUCGCAAAGCAGCAGAGACAUUUUCAAUAAGUAUGAACACAAAUAAUGUUUCUGUCUAAAACCCAGUACCUUAAUGAAGAUUAAGAGAGCAAAAAUUAGAGAGGGGGGAGAGAAUUGUAUAAAAGAGGAAGUAUUUGGUGGGAAACGUGUCAUUUUUAAAGAGUAGUGUGUGAUCCUGAAACAUAGUUUAGUUUACAACAAACACUUGGGGAUUUCUGUCAGGUGUCAGCAAGGGAAAAAUAGUAGAAAAAUGGUCAUUUUAGCCUUGUAUCUAACUGGUGUUAUUUUUGGACUGAUAUGCCAGAAAGGAUGCAAUUAUUUUCUCUGUUAUACCAGUGCAAUCCCAGUAAUUUUGGCAGUCCUAUCAGCUUAAACUACAACAGACUUUUGCCUUGGAAUGAGCUUUACUUUCCACUUUGUAAGAAAUAUGUGAUAACUAUUUUAAUGUGACACAGCUAGGGCAGGAUUUAUAACACUAUCUCCAUUCAAGUCAAUGCAAACCUGUCAGUGUACAACUGAAAUGAGAGAACAGGUUCUUCAUUUCUAAACUUCAAGCUAAUUUAAGUGGACCCUGAUGAGUGUCUUUUGAACGGCAGAAGUCCUCAUCACUCCUAGACAACUAAUCUAGGAGACCAUGUGCAAUCUAACAAUUUUCUCAUGACAGCUAAAGCUUCCUGAAGAACUUGCUAUUGGAUGAGACUUUUCCAGAGUAGCAUUCACACUGAUUUCACAGCCACAGCCGCUUUGCUUUAGCCUUUCCUCUUGUUGACAUCCCUUCAAACCUGCUGCCCAUCCAUCUAUUAUAGAAGACAAGCCACAGCCCUCCCAAGUCAAAGGAAGCCUUUCCAUAAGGCUUCUUGUGGAUGGUGUACUGAACGCUUUACACAAUGCAUUUGAUAUAAGGUUUGGGGUUAAGGAUGCAGUUGCUUGCAGGGGCUUUCCAUCUGGUAGAAUAUUCCCAUUGCAGAGGGGACUUACUGUUCCCUCUUGUUGCCCCAGCAGAUCUCCUCUUAAUGGCUGUCACCUCUUUCACACCCGGCACCAGACAAGGGGGUUAGCUCUUGGUGUGUUUUCCUUCCCUAUUUUUAGCAGGUGAAGCCUAGAAACAGAUCAGAUAAUCAGGAGGCACACACCUGGCAAAUGGCAGAGGCAUUGACGGAGCUUUGCUGACUUAUCCCAGCUGUAUAAAUCAUGGCACUGCCCUGCUCACUGUGCUGCUAAUAGGAUCUGUCCAUAGACAGGCAGAUCCUUUUCAAGGAGGGCUAAUGGACAGUGAAAGCAGGCUUGGCAGGAAAGUGAGCCUGGCAUAAAGGUGCUUCGAUUGCUGAAGUAAAAAAUGAGAUCGGCUCAAACUAGGAAAAAAAAAGAAAAAGAAGUCAGACUUUGUGGUUGAGCAACCUGAAGUUGGGUGCAUGGCUCCUUUCAGAUGUAGUUGUGUCCCCUGUGCUGCAGCUAUGUGUGGGUGCAGGUCUGUGGGCACAGGAACAUCCACCAGAGCUACAUGGCCCUUCAGUGAAAACAGAAGAGUGGGAACAGGGAGCUGUGUAUCUUGCAUUUCUAAAACCUGAAGUGAAGAGCAAAGCAGGCAAAAUAAAAAUCUUUGCCUUACUCAGCACUCAGUACUUGCCUUUAAGGAGGGACUAUCUCCCCACUGAGCCUUUGCACGCGAGCCUGGACGCUCUCUCGCAAACCAAAGCCAGCUCCCGCAGCCAUGCAGAGCACAGCAUGGGAAUCACAGCUGGGGUUUCACUGCUGAAGAGCAGCAGUUAUCAACCAGCUUCCUGAAACCCGAGUGUUUAAUAUGGACUCCUCAUUAACCUGGUACAAAAUAGGAAAGGACAGUUUAGAUUCUUUCCUGCCCAAGUGAGAAGAUGCUGGGUAUUUUGUUUCCUACUGCUUUCUGCUCAUGCCUGAGGGCUUGGCUGUAUCAAGGCAAUAGCAGUUAUUAUUUAGCGUGAGCGAGGUACUUCGAGCUGUAUGAGUCCAUUGUGAUUAAAAAAUACACUUGUACAAAAACAUUAAUUGUACUUUAGACUGGAGACAGGAAUUGAUAGCUGUUGUAUAACUAUAUUAAAGAGAAGACAAAUGUAUCUAUAACUAUAAUGGGAUUCUUUCUUUUGAAAGCAGUACUUUGUAUACUUAUUAAGAGAAAUCAUAAAUAUUCACUGUGCCUACAGAAUCUUUAUUCUGAAUUUAUGGGUCAUAUGUAAUAGAGUUGUUUUCUUUAGGCCAGACAGGGUGACUGUGUUGUUUCCUCAUUACUUGAACUGAUUUUAUCUUCUUAAUGUGCAGUGUGCUGCUGCUCUGCUCCUCAUAUAUUAUAUAAAUCCAUACUAUAUUUUGCAGCAUGGAUUUAUCCCAUAGGUUUAUGCGGCACCUCUGGCAGCUUUGAAUAAUAAUAAUUUCCUACCAAAUGGCAUGGCUGAGGUCAUACUACAGGAAUGUCACUCCUUGCUUUCAGAUGGUGUUUGGACUCAAUUCUGCCUCUCUCACAGACGCAGUGCAUGUCUGAUGAGAACCCGUUUCUAAAUAUGACUCAAUAGUCAAACUCGUGUCCCUUAGGCAGCAGGGCAGUACUUAGAGCAAGAAGGGGGCUUGCUUGGCUUUCUGCAGUGUACCAUGCAAGCCCACCAUCAGAAUUAAUUGCCAUAUCGUCAUUGCACUUCGUAAGGUGCAUUGCAAGGGAGGCUGUCGUUUUGCCUUUAGGCAAAUCAUAGCAAUUCCCAUGGGCAGGAAUUGAAAAUACAUGUGCAGAUUCAGCUCAGAAAACAGGAUCUUUAUUUUUUCUGUACACACGCCUUACAAAUGCUGCAUGGAAAGCGUCAAACCACAAGUGGUGGAGCUGAUUGUGUUUAGAUCCUGCAAGCAUUCACACUAGAACCCAGUCUUGGUGGCCAGUUAGCCCAUCCUGAACAAGCUCUCAGGCCUCCAAUUGAAUUAGCAGAUGGUAGCCAUAAAGUAAAUAGGGGAAGCAAAUGCAUAAUGAAGUUGUGGACGUGUUAUCACAGGAUGUUCUGCACAUGAUGGAUGAAUUAUAAGAAGGAUUACACUCUCACUCUUCUUCUCACACACCUUCCUCAAGAACAUGUUUCUGCCUGCUUCUGUCAGAGGCUGGAUGGACCUCACAGCUAACUGCCAACAUUACCAAGCAUUAUCCAUGUCUGUCUCGAUCUCUAUUGGAAGGUUAUUAGGAUUUCUUCCACCCAGCAAAGGUGUUUGCUGAAAGCUGGAUUGCUCUGUGAGGUACCACCAUGAGCAAUCAGGUCCUGCUCAUCAUCCAUUUCAGCUUUGCAUCUUUGGGGAUCCCUACACAACUCAUAGUUGCUCCCAUGCCCUCUACUUCAUCCAUAAGGAUAAUAAUAUAUUAUUAGUGUGUGACCAAUAUCUGCAUGCUAUUUCUGGGUUCAGGAGUGAGUUGGCAUAGUGGUGUUACACUGGAGGUAGUUGGUGAACCAUCUUGUCACUUUUGCAUGCUCAUACCCCAUGAAGAGAGGAAUUGGAAAUGCAUCAGCUACUUGUGCUAGCAGCACAGGCAGAAGCUUGCAGGUGGUUCCUCUUUCUCUUUUCCAUCUUAGAAAAGUUGAGAGCCCAGGGACUUCACCAUCUUAUCUCCAGAUUCUGAUGAUGCCUCUGAAAUCGGCAGUCCUGAGUUCUUGUUCCCAGCUGAAUUGGGAUUAGUGUGACCAGCUUAAAAAAAUAAAAAAUUACCAAUACCAAAUGCAAAAGUGCCAUAUUAAAGGUGGAGCAUUGCUGGUUUGAAAGCCAAAGUGCCAGCCGCCAUUUCUUCCAGCAGCAGAUGUGGCUGCUAUAAAUACAUACGUAGCAUGGGUUUGCUGGCAGCUAAAAUAAUGUUUUACUUCAGCUGCAUGAGGACAUGGUGUCCUUGGAUAGAAGAAGUCAAACUCAUAAGCAUGUAUUUCGCACAGUGUUGUAUGGCUUUGGGUUCAUGCAGGAAAUGAGGAAGCAGAAAUGUGAUUACAACUCAAUAACAGCCAGAAAGUAGGUGAGUGUCUCCAAGAAAGCCUAAAAAACACAUUCAGAAAUGCAGCUCAGUUCUCCAGAGAGGAUAAACAAAUUUCUUGGGGUGUGGGCAGUAGCUGCAGAAGGAAAAGAGUUUUCUCCCAGGGCUAGACUAACACGAAUGGGUGUCAGGCUCAUGGGACCCAGCAGCUAUUUCACCAGCUGAAACUCUCCAUCUAGGCUGCAAUUCUCUUUCUGUUGUGUUGAAUUGACGUUGGUUCAUGAGUUCUCUCUUGUCUUUCACAAUACAAAAAGGAAAACACAUUCUCUCCCUCUUUCUCUGGUUUCAUGUCAUUAAGGACGGCUGUGGGAAGACUGGCUGAGGACAUGUUAUAAAGUGACACUGGGGAAUCAAGCAAGAAAGUAAACCAAAAAAAAAAAAAAAAAAAAAAAAAAAAAAA